rnacentral:rRNA from 1 species
UACGUAGGGGCCGAGCGUUGUCCGGAAUACUGGGCGUAAAGCGUGCGCAGGCGGUUUUGUAAGUCAGAUGUGAAAUCCCCGGGCUUAACCUGGGAACUGCGUUUGAAACUACAAGGCUAGAGUGUGGCAGAGGGGGGUGGAAUUCCACGUGUAGCAGUGAAAUGCGUAGAGAUGUGGAGGAACACCGAUGGCGAAGGCAGCCCCCUGGGUCAAGAUUGACGCUCAUGCACGAAAGCGUGGGGAGCAAACAGG